rnacentral:lncRNA from 1 species
ACCUCCUCCUUCUCCUCCACCUUCACCUCCUCCUCCACCUCCUCGUCCUCCACUGAAGACACCAGCAGCCUCCCCCGCAUGACUGUGACUGCAGGCCAGGUUAGGAGACAGCUGGAGAGACUCCACCAGCAGAAGGCUGCAGGCCCUGACGGUAUCAGCCCCAGGAUCCUGAAGACAUGUGCCAGCCAGCUGUCUCCUGUCCUACAACACCUCUACAACCUGAGCCUGGGUCAGGAGAGAAUACCGGUGCUUUGGAAGACUUCCUGCCUGGUUCCUGUUCCAAAGAAGUCGACACCAUCAGACCUCAAUGACUAUCGACCAGUGGCCCUCACAUCUUACGUCAUGAAGGCGCUGGAAAGACUGGUUUUGGCCAACCUGAGGCCGCAGGUGAGAGCCCUGCUAGACCCUCUGCAAUUUGCUUACCAGCCCCACUUGGGAGUUGAUGAUGUUGUCAUCUACCUGCUGCAACGAGCCCAUUCGCACCUGGAUGGUGGAGGAGGUACUGUGAGAAUCACAUUCUUUGAUUUCUCUAGUGCUUUUAACACCAUUCAGCCACUGCUACUGGGGGAGAAGCUGCGGGUGAUGGGUGUAGACGACACAAUGAUCUCCUGGAUUACUGACUACCUGACAGGCAGGCCACAGUUUGUCCGUAUGGGCAGUGUUCUGUCUGAUGCGGUGGUUAGUGAUACAGGAGCCCCACAGGGGACUGUACUGUCUCCUUUCCUGUUCACCUUAUACACCACUGACUUUCAGUACAACACCGGGUCGUGUCACCUGCAAAAGUUUUCUGACGACUCGGCUGUUGUUGGGUGUAUAAGUGAGGGACAGGAGGAGGAUUACAGGGCACUGGUAGACAACUUUGUGGAGUGGACUGGACAGAAUCACCUGCGGCUGAACAUCAGCAAGACCAGAGAGAUGGUGAUAGAUUUCAGGAAGAAGAGGAAGACGGCUUUCCAACCUCUGUGCAUUCUGGGAAAGGAUGUGGAGGCGGUGGAGAAUUACAAGUACCUGGGUGUUACCAUCAACCACAGACUGGAAUGGAGAUCUAACACUGAAGCUGUUUACAAGAAGGGGAUGAGCAGACUUUACUUCCUGAGGAAGCUGAGAUCCUUCAACGUGUGCAGCAAGAUGUUGGAGAUCUUUUAUCAGUCUGUGGUGGCCAGUGUACUUUUCUUUGCUGUGGUUUGUUGGGGAAGCAGCAUCGGAGCCAGCGACACCAACAGACUCAACAAACUGAUCAGGAAGGCUGGCUCUGUGAUUGGCUGCAAACAGGACACUCUGGAGGCUGUGGUGGAGAGGAGGACACUGAAAAAACUGUUAUCCAUCAUGGAUAAUCCUCUCCACCCUCUCCAACUCACACUGGUCAGACAGCGGAGCACCUUCUCCGGAAGGCUGCUUCAGCUUCGCUGUCGAAGCAACAGAUACAGGAAAUCUUUCCUGCCACAAUCCAUCACUUUAUACAAUAACUCUCUCACCUCUGCCUGACAGAGAACUCUGGUCUCUCUACUGUUUUGUUGUAUUUAUUAUUAUUGUUAUAGUAUAUUUUGCACAUUUUGUUUUGUUGUAUAUAUUAUUAUUAUUGUUUAUUGUUUAUAGCACACUGUGCACUGUAUAUAUACACUAUGUAUAUAUUGGAUUCUAUUUAUGUGUUUUAAGUGUUUUAUUUGCUGACCCACUACUGCUGUAACAAAAAUAAUUUCCCAGUCUGGGAUCAUUAAAGUAAUUCUAUUCUAUUCUAUUCUAUUCUAUUUUGAAGACAUUUUAAAAAAUACCGCGGUAUACCGAUAACCGUGAUAAUUUUGGUCACUAUUACGGCGGUGUGAAAUUU